CAUAUAACAUAAAAGUUUAGCAAAACGAAAUUUGUAUCCACCUCUCAAAAAAAAAAUCUGUAUCCACCGAUGUCCUCCCACCUCCGGCGAUUCGCCCCAAGCUCAGCCCCGAUCUGCCACCUCGCCGCUCCCCUUUCCCCUUCACCGCCGUCCGCCCCGUCACCAAGUCUUUGCCAGAGAUCUGCUCGGUAACGAAAUCUGCUCCGAUCACUGCUGCAAUACGUCUCGGUGAUAACAUCGCCACUCCCGUUUCCCCUCCACCGCCAUCCGCCACCGUCGUCUCCGUCUGCCCUGUCACCAAGUCGCCGCCAGCGAUCUGCGCCUCUCCAUGGCUGAACUCAAUAAGGAAUGGUGAAGGGGUUAGGCUAAAUCUUACCUUUUGAGCAGCUGAAACCAUGGCCAACAUCAUUCCCAUUAGUUAAUGGCAUUCAUGGUGAUUCUUCUAAGAUAAAGUUCAGUAUCGGUAUCCGCUCCUUUUCGUCUGCUGGUACACCUCUUUUCACUUAACUUGAUCUUACUAUUCAAAAUUUUAUCUGACACUCUGUACAAUUAAAGUAGAAACCAAUGGAAUUAUGUGGUUCAACGACUAAUAUUUUGGACUGUAAGUGUCAUUUAAUUCUAUGCGCACGUGGUUUUCUCUUUAAGUGGUAUCUUGAGCUAUGCGGUUCAUUUUCUCUAAAGUAAGCCUACUUUCUCUUUUAAGGUCUCAAUGCAUUAUUUGUCUUCAUAAAACAGUGGUGCUACGUUACGUUAUUAUUUUUGAUCUUUUUUGAUGAUUUAGUUGAUUUUUUUUUAUUGCUUAUACUUUUGAUGUGUGAUAAUCAUUAGGAAAUUGAGUAAAAAUGCAAUUACAUUGAUAAUCAACGGAAGUCGGCUUACUACUUAAUUGCAGCCUUCGUUGGCGAGAAAUUGUUUCCUCUCGCCUUUUAUUACCUGCAGAAGCUUCUCCAGCUGCAACUCAACCUUCUCUGGGGCCCCGAUCGCGUCCGCAAAGCUUGCCAUCUGUUCGGUGUGUGCAUUGUCCUCUUGGUUGGUUGUUGUUUUUGCUAAUGUACCGUGGCUCGAGUUUUAUAUGUUGUUUGUGCUUUGUUAUUAGCUGUAAACUUUUGAUUUUUUGUUGUUUUUUUAGUUUUCCCGAUGUGAUCAGUCGUUAGUUGCGUAUUUUAAUUCAUUUUAAUGUGUGUUGUGGUGUUAUAUCGGGUUAUGGAAAUCUAACGUUAUCAGGAA